rnacentral:rRNA from 1 species
AGUGAACGCUGGCGGUAGGCCUAACACAUGCAAGUCGAACGGCAGCACAGUAAGUGCUUGCUCUUACGGGUGGCGAGUGGCGGACGGGUGAGGUAGGCAUCGGAAUCUACUUUUUCGUGGGGGCUAACGUAGGGAAACUUACGCUAAUACCGCAUACGACCUACGGGUGAAAGCAGGGGAUCUUCGGACCUUGCGCGAUUAGAUGAGCCGAUGUCGGAUUAGUUAGUUGGCGGGGUAAAGGCCCACCAGGGCGACGAUCCGUAGCUGGUCUGAGAGGAUGAUAAGCCACAUUGGAACGGGGACAGGGUCCAGGCUCCUACGGGAGGCAGCAGUGGGGAAUGUUAGACAAUGGGCGCAAGCCUGAUACAGCGAUACCGCGUGUGUGAAGAAGGCGUUCGGUUUGUAAAGCCCUUUUGUUGGGAAAGAAAAGCAGCAGGUUAAGACGCAGCUGUUCUGACGGUACCCAAAGAAUAAGCACCGGCUAACUUCGUG